AGCUGCGUAGCUCAGUGGAAAGAGCACGGGCUUGGGAGUCAGAGUUCAUGGGUUCAAAUCCAAGCUCAGCUG
rnacentral:tRNA from 1 species